rnacentral:rRNA from 1 species
GAUGAACGCUGGCUACAGGCUUAACACAUGCAAGUCGAGGGGAAACGACGGGGAAGCUUGCUUCCCCGGGCGUCGACCGGCGCACGGGUGAGUAACGCGUAUCCAACCUGCCUCUGACUGAGGGAUAACCCGUCGAAAGUCGGCCUAAUACCUCAUGGCAUCGUCUGCGGGCAUCCAACGACGAUUAAAGAUUUCAUCGGUCAGAGAUGGGGAUGCGUCUGAUUAGCUUGUUGGCGGGGUAACGGCCCACCAAGGCGACGAUCAGUAGGGGUUCUGAGAGGAAGGUCCCCCACAUUGGAACUGAGACACGGUCCAAACGCCUACGGGAGGCAGCAGUGAGGAAUAGUGGUCAAUGGGCGAGAGCCUGAACCAGCCAAGUAGCGUGCAGGAUGACGGCCCUAUGGGUUGUAAACUGCUUUUAUGCGGGGAUAAAGUGAGGGACGUGUCCUUCAUUGCAGGUACCGCAUGAAUAAGGACCGGCUAAUUCCGUG